AAGACCCUUUUGCACAACUCUUAAGUUUCCUUUUUUUUUUUUUCUUUCUCUUUUUUUUUCUUUCUUUUUUUAAAUCUCAUUCUAAUUUUCUGCAUUGUUUGGGAAAUAAAGUGAAAAAUCUAAGACCAAUAGAAACUGGUUUUCAAAAAAGGUAAAUACACUCCCAUCUGUUUCAGAUGCUGCUGAUCAUUUCAGCAGUGACAGAUUCAAAUAAUAAGCUAAUUUUUGGAGAAAGGAUUAAAAGAAAAAAAACUUUGUAAUAUUUAUCACUUGCAAGCUAUGUUUAAUAAAGAAAGGAAUGGUUUCUAAA
rnacentral:lncRNA from 1 species